GACGAACGCUGGCGGCGUGCUUAACACAUGCCAGUCGAACGGAAAGGCCUGUCCUUCCUUGUGCUGGACGGGUACUCGAGUGGCGAACGGGUGAGUAACACGUGAGUGAUCUGCCCCCAACUUGGGUAUAAGCCUGGGAACCUGUGUCUAAUUCCCGAUAGGACUGCAGGGUGGAGCCUGUGGUGGAAAACGAUUUUCUAGUGGUUGGGGAUGAGCUCGCGGCCUAUCAGCUUGUUGGUGGGGUAAUGGCCUACCAAGGCGACGAUGGGUAGCCGUCCUGAGAGUGAGAGCGGGCACAGUGGCAUUGAGACAGGGACAAGACCCAGACGGGUGCGAGCGGUAGGGGUGUUUAAUAAAGGACCAUGAGCGGGAGCCUGAAACGCCGCGGGCGCGAGGAAGGUCUUCGGCUUGGAGAUGUAUACUCCUUGGGAACACGAGGAAGCCGCCUAGUUGGGAGGGUGGUGACGGUAGUGGAAGAAGAAGCACCGGCUAACUACGUG
rnacentral:rRNA from 1 species